GAUGAAGAACGUAGCGAAAUGCGAUAAGUAAUGUGAAUUGCAGAAUUCAGUGAAUCAUCGAAUCUUUGAACGCACAUUGCGCCCGCCAGUAUUCUGGCGGGCAUGCCUGUUCGAGCGUCAUUUCAACCAUCAAGCCCCCGGCUUGUGUUGGGGACCUGGCUGCCGCAGGCCCUGAAAAGCAGUGGCGGGCUCGCUGUCACACCGAGCGUAGUAGCAUACAUCUCGCUCUGGGCGUGCUGCGGGUUCCGGCCGUUAAACCACCUUCAUAACCCAAGGUUGACCUCGGAUCAGGUAGGAAGACCCGCUGAACUUAAGCAUAUCAAUAAGCGGAGGA
rnacentral:misc_RNA from 1 species